UACGUAGGGUGCGAGCGUUAAUCGGAAUUACUGGGCGUAAAGCGUGCGCAGGCGGUUUUGUAAGCCAGAUGUGAAAUCCCCGGGCUUAACCUGGGAAUGGCAUUUGGGACUGCAAGGCUCGAGUGCGGCAGAGGGGGAUGGAAUUCCGCGUGUAGCAGUGAAAUGCGUAGAUAUGCGGAGGAACACCGAUGGCGAAGGCAAUCCCCUGGGCCUGCAUUGACGCUCAUGCACGAAAGCGUGGGGAGCAAACAGG
rnacentral:rRNA from 1 species